rnacentral:tRNA from 1 species
GCGAGGGUGGUGAAAAUGGUAGACACGCCAGACUUAGGAUCUGGUGCCCGCGGCAUAGGGGUUCGAGUCCCCUCCUUCGCA